rnacentral:rRNA from 1 species
GACGGAGGAUGCAAGCGUUAUCCGGAAUGAUUGGGCGUAAAGCGUCCGCAGGUGGCAGUUCAAGUCUGCUGUCAAAGACCGGGGCUUAACUUCGGAAAGGCGGUGGAAACUGAACAGCUAGAGUAUGGUAGGGGCAGAGGGAAUUCCUGGUGUAGCGGUGAAAUGCGUAGACAUCAGGAAGAACAUCGGUGGCGAAGGCGCUCUGCUGGACCAUAACUGACACUCAGGGACGAAAGCUAGGGGAGCGAAUGGG